rnacentral:lncRNA from 1 species
AUCUCAUCUAGGUUUGUGUAAGUACACUCUAUGGUGUUCACACAGCAAGAAAAUCACCUAACAUUGGGCACAGUUUUCAGAACACAACCCGUCAUUGGUGAUGCAUGACUUAUUGACUCAAAGUUUACAAACAGUUUAAAAUUCCUGACAAAUAGUGCCAAACUGUUUCCAUAACAUUUACAUCAGUUCAUAAUCUCAUGAGCAUUGUGUGGUUCUGACAGCAAAGAAUAUGUACCAGUCUUAGCUAGCAAAUAAGCUAGGGUUUAUUUCAAGGCUGCAAUCAUCUUAUAAACAUCUAAAAGCCAUCAAAAAACAGAGCAAAGACAACUGGGAAAAAUGAGUUCUGGACCUGGAACUUCGUGGACGAACACUGUCCCAUCCAUCUCUCAGGGGACUGCACAUCUCAUGCCUGCUUCUUAUUGCUGCUCUUCACUACACCUUCUGCUUCUGACUAAUUGACAUGUAAACUAAGUGAAAUGUCAAUCUACCCCAUAUUUUCGUGACAUUAUAGCUCUUGUACACACCUACUACCUCCUGGCUGAUUUAGUGUAUUUAGCUCAAAUUCCUGAGAAAAAGAAUACGAAAGGCUCUGCCAAACCUAUGUAUUGGUUCCUUUAGGACAGGUGAGUUCCUCUGGUCUAAUCGGCUAUUGCUGAGGAGGUCACAUGGUCAAAAAAGAUAGUAAGGUCAAGCUUAGAAGUGAGUAUCAGCAAAAACCAAGGAUAAUCAUAUCUAGUAUAGCAUGAGAGCAUUCAUUGCGGCAUUACUGGCUUCUGUGUCAUUUUCUUCAUCAGCUGGCUUUACUAAAGAUAAAUUACAUAUUGUUUUAAAUUUGAAUUUUUGAGCAAAGCAGAACUUUACGUCGUAUAUGUGAAAUUUACAUCACUUAUUUGCAUUUCUUCUGUGACUUCUCUGUUCAGAUUCAUUGUUCAUUUAUCUCUUGAGCUGUUAAUUUUUUCCUCAUUGCUUUCUCUCCAUGAAGAAUAUUUUUAAACUUUUAUAUAUUAACCAUAUUUAUCAUUUGUCUUAGUUAUUGCU